rnacentral:rRNA from 1 species
AACGAACGCUGGCGGCAUGCCUAACACAUGCAAGUCGAACGAUUGCCUUCGGGUGAUAGUGGCGCACGGGUGCGUAACGCGUGGGAAUCUGCCCUUCGGUUCGGAAUAACAGCUGGAAACGGCUGCUAAUACCGGAUGAUCUCGCGAGAUCAAAGAUUUAUUGCCUGAGGAUGAGCCCGCGUUGGAUUAGGUAGUUGGUGGGGUAAAGGCCUACCAAGCCGACGAUCCAUAGCUGGUCUGAGAGGAUGAUCAGCCACACUGGGACUGAGACACGGCCCAGACUCCUACGGGAGGCAGCAGUGGGGAAUAUUGGACAAUGGGCGCAAGCCUGAUCCAGCAAUGCCGCGUGAGUGAUGAAGGCCCUAGGGUUGUAAAGCUCUUUUGCCCGGGAAGAUAAUGACGGUACCGGGAGAAUAAGCCCCGGCUAACUCCGUG